AAUCAACGCUGGCGGCGUGCCUCAGACAUGCAAGUCGAACGCGAAAUUUCCCUUCGGGGAGAAAGUAGAGUGGCGCACGGGUGAGUAACACGUAGGUAAUUUGCCUUUGGGUGGGGAAUAACUCAGGGAAACUUGAGCUAAUACCGCAUAAUGCAGCGGCUCGACAUCGAGACAGUUGUUAAAGCGGGGGAGUUGGAGGCAAUCCGACCUCGCGCCUAAAGAGAAGCCUGCGGCAGAUUAGCUAGUUGGUAAGGUAAUGGCUUACCAAGGCGACGAUCUGUAACCGGCCUGAGAGGGCGGUCGGUCACACUGACACUGACAUACGGGUC
rnacentral:rRNA from 1 species